rnacentral:miRNA from 1 species
AGCUAUGUCAUGACUUUUCUGA